rnacentral:lncRNA from 10 species
UCAUUAACUAUUCCCGAUAAAUUGACAAAAUCAAGCUCACAGUGGUAGACAGCUGAUUCUCAGUGGAAAAGGACAAAGGAUCCGUCAGACAUGUCUGGUGAUACUGUAAAUCAGCAUAACCUUUGAUGGGACACAGUCACGCAAAAUGUGACAACCAUAAAAUUCUGACCAGCAAUUCCACUUUUGAAAACAGCCCCAAAGAGACAGGACAAAGUAAACAGGGAAAACACAGAUGGCCUUCUCCAGCCACAGAGGCAGUCCCUGGUGCCCAGAGCGGGGACAGUUGGUGACUCGAUCCAGGAGAGGAAGUCACCUGCGCCCUGAACUCUGAGGCUCACAUCCUGUGAACCUGCUCAGGAGAGCUAAGGUGUGGCCCACCAGUGCCUUUUGGGGACUCAUAGAAACAGCUCCUCUCACCUAGAAAGAAACAGAGCCACCAUCUUCCCACCCCUCAAAGGGUCUUGUCCAUUCAUACCGCCUUCUUUGGCAUAAGCCUGGAUGGAAUAUGGCUCGCCAACUUUGUCAUGCAACAUUGGAUACACAGAGAUGUUAUAGCACCAGAAAGGUUUUAAUUUAUCUGUGAAAAAGAAAGAAAAAAAAGU